rnacentral:lncRNA from 1 species
GAAGCCCAUUUGGAGAACCAGGACGAGGGGAGCGCAUUGCGUUCCCGGAGAUGGUCCUUGUUUAGGGGUUCUGAAGUAUGUCAAAGUAAUCGUCCGGGAUAGGAGGAUUCACUUGCCCGCUUUCCUCAAACCCCGGUUGCCUAAGAGCCCCGUCUUGGCUUGUUAGACAUGGUGUGUAUGGGAAGAAGGAGAGUAUGAAGCCUGCAGGAUGGGAGCAAACAAUGGCAAACAGUACGGCAGUGAGGGCAAAGGCAGCUCAAGCAUCUCAUCCGACGUGAGUUCAAGUACAGAUCAUACGCCGACCAAAGCUCAAAAGAAUGCAGCUACCAGCGAAGCUUUAACCAUACAAAAAAAAAUCAUUGAAAACUGAAACUAUUCCUUCAAAAAGGCGAAGACAAUUGAAGAAUUGAAAUCUGUUGAGAGAAGAUAGAAUUAACAAGGGCACAGGAAGAAGGAAGAAAAAGAUAAGAAAUAAAGAAAGGAAGGAAAUGAGGCUCA